rnacentral:rRNA from 1 species
AACGAACGCUGGCGGCAUGCCUAACACAUGCAAGUCGAACGAGACCUUCGGGUCUAGUGGCGCACGGGUGCGUAACGCGUGGGAACCUGCCCUUAGGUUCGGAAUAACUCCCAGAAAGGGGUGCUAAUACCGGAUAAUGUCUUCGGACCAAAGAUUUAUCGCCUUUGGAUGGGCCCGCGUUGGAUUAGCUAGUUGGUAGGGUAAAAGCCUACCAAGGCGACGAUCCAUAGCUGGUCGGAGAGGAUGAUCAGCCACACUGGGACUGAGACACGGCCCAGACUCCUACGGGGAGCAGCAGUGGGGAAUAUUGGACAAUGGGCGAAAGCCUGAUCCAGCAAGGCCGCGGGAGUGAUGAAGGCCUUAGGGUUGUAAAGCUCUUUUACCCGGGAGGAUAAUGACAGUACCGGGAGAAUAAGCUCCGGCUAACUCCGUG